rnacentral:lncRNA from 1 species
GAUGGGAUUUAGGUCCAGACCCCAUUCCAGUUUUUUUUUUCUCACAGGAAUGGGACAAGAUACGCCCUCUAUCUUGCUAUAACUUAAAAACUUGAAUCAUAUUAAUAUUUAGCAUGGAUUUUUGGAAACACAAUAAAAAAGAAAUUAAUAGUUUGUUACGUGAAGAUCAGAAGUUGUAUAUUUACGGGAUAGAGAGGUGGUAAACUCGUUAGGUAAUGAUAAAUAAAGAAGCAUUGAUGUUGAAUCAGAAAAUGAUAAGGCUGUAUUUUUUUGGAUAAGAGAGGAUGGCCUAAGAAAAUGUCGUCAG